AGUGAACGCUGGCGGUAGGCCUAACACAUGCAAGUCGAACGGCAGCACAGUAAGAGCUUGCUCUUACGGGUGGCGAGUGGCGGACGGGUGAGGAAUACAUCGGAAUCUACUUUUUCGUGGGGGAUAACGUAGGGAAACUUACGCUAAGACCGCAUACGACCUACGGGUGAAAGCAGGGGAUCUUCGGACCUUGCGCGAUUGAAUGAGCCGAUGUCGGAUUAGCUAGUUGGCGGGGUAAAGGCCCACCAAGGCGACGAUCCGUAGCUGGUCUGAGAGGAUGAUCAGCCACACUGGAACUGAGACACGGUCCAGACUCCUACGGGAGGCAGCAGUGGGGAAUAUUGGACAAUGGGCGCAAGCCUGAUCCAGCCAUACCGCGUGGGUGAAGAAGGCCUUCGGGUUGUAAAGCCCUUUUGUUGGGAAAGAAAAGCAGCAGGUUAAUACCACGCUGUUCUGACGGUACCCAAAGAAUAAGCACCGGCUAACUUCGUG
rnacentral:rRNA from 1 species